AUUGAACGCUGGCGGCAUGCCUAACACAUGCAAGUCGAACGGAAAGGCCCUUCGGGGUGCUCGAGUGGCGAACGGGUGAGUAACACGUGGGUGAUCUGCCCUGCACUUUGGGAUAAGCCUGGGAAACUGGGUCUGAUACCGAAUAGGACCGCGCUCUUCAUGGGGUGUGGUGGAAAGCUUUUGUGGUGUGGGAUGGGCCCGCGGCCUAUCAGCUUGUUGGUGGGGUAAUGGCCUACCAAGGCGACGACGGGUAGCCGGCCUGAGAGGGUGACCGGCCACACUGGGACUGAGAUACGGCCCAGACUCCUACGGGAGGCAGCAGUGGGGAAUAUUGCACAAUGGGCGCAAGCCUGAUGCAGCGACGCCGCGUGAGGGAUGACGGCCUUCGGGUUGUAAACCUCUUUCAGUACCGACGAAGCGCAAGUGACGGUAGGUACAGAAGAAGGACCGGCCAACUACGUGCCAGCCGCCGCCGUAA
rnacentral:rRNA from 1 species